UACAGAGGGUGCAAGCGUUUGUUCGGAAUUAUUGGGCGUAAAGCGCGUGUAGGCGGCUUUGCAAGUCGGGUGUGAAAGCCCUCAGCUUAACUGAGGAAGUGCGCCCGAAACUGCAGAGCUUGAAUACCGGAGAGGAUGGCGGAAUUCCCCAAGUAGAGGUGAAAUUCGUAGAUAUGGGGAGGAACACCGGUGGCGAAGGCGGCCAUCUGGACGGCUAUUGACGCUGAGACGCGAAAGCGUGGGGAGCAAACAGG
rnacentral:rRNA from 1 species